rnacentral:tRNA from 1 species
GGGGCUGUAGCUCAGUUGGUUAGAGCGUCUCCCUGUCACGGAGAAGGCCACCGGUCCGAGUCCGGCCAGCCCCGCCU